rnacentral:rRNA from 1 species
GACGAACGCUGGCGGCGUGCCUAAUACAUGCAAGUUGAGCGCUGAAGGUUGGUACUUGUACCAACUGGAUGAGCAGCGAACGGGUGAGUAACGCGUGGGGAAUCUGCCUUUGAGCGGGGGACAACAUUUGGAAACGAAUGCUAAUACCGCAUAAAAACUUUAAACACAAGUUUUAAGUUUGAAAGAUGCAAUUGCAUCACUCAAAGAUGAUCCCGCGUUGUAUUAGCUAGUUGGUGAGGUAAAGGCUCACCAAGGCGAUGAUACAUAGCCGGCCUGAGAGGGUGGUCCGCCACAUUGGGACUGAGACACGGCCCAAACUCCUACGGGGGGCAGCAGUAGGGAAACUUCGGCAAUGGACGAAAGUCUGACCGAGCAACGCCGCGUGAGUGAAGAAGGUUUUCGGAUCGUAAAACUCUGUUGGUAGAGAAGAAAGUUGGUGAGAGUGGAAAGCUCAUCAAGUGACGGUAACUACCCAGAAAGGGACGGCUAACUACGUG